rnacentral:rRNA from 1 species
GAAACCGUGUACGUACAAGCAGUGGGAGCACCUUCGGGUGUGACUGCGUACCUUUUGUAUAAUGGGUCAGCGACUUAUAUUCUGUAGCAAGGUUAACCGUAUAGGGGAGCCGCAGGGAAACCGAGUCUUAACUGGGCGUUAAGUUGCAGGGUAUAGACCCGAAACCCGGUGAUCUAGCCAUGGGCAGGUUGAAGGUUGGGUAACACUAACUGGAGGACCGAACCGACUAAUGUUGAAAAAUUAGCGGAUGACUUGUGGCUGGGGGUGAAAGGCCAAUCAAACCGGGAGAUAGCUGGUUCUCCCCGAAAGCUAUUUAGGUAGCGCCUCGUGAACUCAUCUUCGGGGGUAGAGCACUGUUUCGGCUAGGGGGUCAUCCCGACUUACCAACCCGAUGCAAACUACGAAUACCGAAGAAUGUUAUCACGGGAGACACACGGCGGGUGCUAACGUCCGUCGUGAAGAGGGAAACAACCCAGACCGCCAGCUAAGGUCCCAAAGUCAUGGUUAAGUGGGAAACGAUGUGGGAAGGCACAGACAGCCAGGAUGUUGGCUUAGAAGCAGCCAUCAUUUAAAGAAAGCGUAAUAGCUCACUGGUCGAGUCGGCCUGCGCGGAAGAUGUAACGGGGCUAAACCAUGCACCGAAGCUGCGGCAGCGACACUAUGUGUUGUUGGGUAGGGGAGCGUUCUGUAAGCCUGCGAAGGUGACCUGUGAGGGUUGCUGGAGGUAUCAGAAGUGCGAAUGCUGACAUAAGUAACGAUAAAGCGGGUGAAAAGCCCGCUCGCCG